ensembl:lncRNA
UCUGGAUACUGGUGUGUGUCUAAAAUUCUCCACUGCUCUGGAGAGUUAACUGCCCAGACUCUUGAAUCUCUGGGUUACUGGUUGAGAGACAGUGGUGGGAAAUAGCCAAAGCUUCUUCAUUCCUUUUUUUUUUAAAAUCAGGGAGCCUCUCUAGCAGCAGCUUCCCUGGUUGCUCAGAUGGUAACAAAUCUGCCCACAAUGGAGGAGACACAAGAGACUCAGUUUUGAUCCCUGGGUCAGGAAGAUCCCCUAGAGAAGGAAAUGGCACUCAGGAUUCUUGCCUGAAGAAUUCCAUGGACAGAGGAGCCUGGUGUGUUACAGUCCAUAGGGUUGCAAAGAGUAAGACAUGACUGCGUGACCAAUACUUUUCCUUUCUCUACUUGGAGCUGAAGAUAAUACGGGCCCCUCCAUUCUAGUCCAGGGGCAUCUGCCAUAAAAUUGGACUCAAUUUCUACUGCAUUUGACACCUGUCAGUCUUCAUUGUUUAAUAGUAACUGUUAUCCUUUUCUCUGGUUGAGUCUUUGUAGGUAUUCCAAUGGGAAUUAGGAGAGGCUACCAGCUGCUCGCUGCUUGCCUGUUAGAAGCUUAAAUUCUUCCCUUAAUUCAUGUGGUUCCUCUCUCUCUUAAUACCUAAAUCUUUCAUCUAUUUAGAAUUGAUUUUAGUAUUAGAGUUUUAAAUAAAGCAUGAAUCUAGCUAUUGUUUCCUCCAGAUAAUUGCCCUGUUGCAGAGUACCACUUAUUGAAUAAACUUCCCUUCCCCUAUGAUUUGCAAUAACAGUAAUAAUAGUGUAAGAAAAAAAAUUGGUAUCCCAUCCCAGAGAGUCCUCUGAAAUAAAUAAAAAGUAUGAUUGAGCUGUAGCCCUUCUUGAAAAAUGAUGACAGCUCCCACUAGAAGGACAUGUUUAUUAUGUGGGUGGACUCACCAGCGGAGCAAGAACAAAGCUUACUUAGGGUUCAAGACACCAGAGAGGGAUGAGAUGCCCUGUUAUUUGGAAAAAAUAUUUUCUCUUUUCCAUAUGGUUUAAACUGUAGUGAAGCUGAAAAUGAAAGUCCAUGUUGAGAGAUAAGCAUGUGUGUAAUCUAACAGGGUCACUGAUGAAAGGAACCGCUUUCCCUGGAGCUCUCAGGAAAGCUUAUAGUAAAGGAAAUGAGACCUAGAGGAUCCAAGUCCACUCCAGUUCAAAGGGCCCAGCUCUUCUAUAAGACAUGGGUGACAAAGGCGUCACUUAUCACUAGAAUACUAUCCCAGAGAGAAUCACUCAGACCGGAGGCACUAUAAAGGCCAGCCAGGGGUGAAUGGAGAUUCAGAGACUUGAAGAAGACGCCCACAGGGGAGGUGGUUUGUGAGCCAAAGGCCAGGAGAGCCAGCUGAGUUUGCCACUCCCUCACCAAGAGAUGGAGACUGCAUCUUCAUCUUUGUGAACAUGGGUUGGUUGUGUGACAUCGUUUGACCAACAGAGAGUAGUGGAAGUGAUGCUGUGCCUGUUCUUGUCACAGCCCUUAGUUUCUGGUGACUUUGACUUCCUGCUCUUUUGAAGUGUUGCUCUUGGGCUGCUCCUUCUCUGAGCCCAAAGGCUAUGCUGUGAGCAGCCUGAGCAGCAUGGAGAACCUGCAAAAGUAUCAUGUAGGUGCUUCAAUCAACAUUGCCGGGUGAACUACCAGCCCAUAGCCGGUGUCAACUGUCAGCCAUGUGAGUGAGCCCCCUGGAUAUCCGGCCCAGUUGAGCCUUCAGAUACCUGCAUCCCAGCCAAUAUCUAAAUGUAAUUCCAUAGAGACCUCAAGGGAGAAUUGCUUACCUGAGUCCCG